rnacentral:rRNA from 1 species
GAGUUUGAUCGUGGCUCAGGACGAACGCUGGCGGCGUGCCUAACACAUGCAAGUCGAGCGAGGUCCAUUCGGUAGCAAUACCGAUGAAGACCUAGCGGCGAACGGGUGAGUAACACGUGAGAAACCUGCCCCAAAGUCUGGGAUAAUCCGGGGAAACCCGAGCUAAUACCGGAUACCUUCUCUCGGUCGCAUGGCCGGUUGAAGAAAGUCUUUCGCUUUGGGAGGGUCUCGCGGCCUAUCAGUUUGUUGGUGGGGUAACGGCCUACCAAGACAUCGACGGGUAGCUGGUCUGAGAGGACGAUCAGCCACACUGGGACUGAGACACGGCCCAGACUCCUACGGGAGGCAGCAGUGGGGAAUCUUGCGCAAUGGGCGAAAGCCUGACGCAGCAACGCCGCGUGCGGGAUGACGGCCUCGG